GUGAGGAAUUUUCCGCAAUGGGCGAAAGCCUGACGGAGCAAUGCCGCGUGAAGGAUGAAGGCCUAUGGGUUGUAAACUUCUUUUCUCAGAAAAGAAUUAUGACGGUAUCUGAGGAAUAAGCAUCGGCUAACUCUGUGCCAGCAGCCGCGGUAAGACAGAGGAUGCAAGCGUUAUCCGGAAUGAUGGGGCGUAAAGCGUCUGUAGGUUGUUUAAAAAGUAUUCUGUCAAAGAUUAGGGCUUAACCCUAGAUAGGCAGAAUAAACUUUUAAGCUAGAGUUUGGUAGAGGCAGAGGGAAUUCCCGGUGGAGCGGUGAAAUGCGUAGAUAUCGGGAGGAACACCAAAGGCGAAGGCACUCUGCUGGGCCAAUACUAACACUGAGAGACGAAAGCGAGGGGAGCAAAUGGGAUUAGAAACCCGAGUAGUCC
rnacentral:rRNA from 1 species